rnacentral:rRNA from 1 species
UACGGAGGGAGCUAGCGUUGUUCGGAAUUACUGGGCGUAAAGCGCACGUAGGCGGCUUUGUAAGUUAGAAGUGAAAGCCCGGGGCUCAACUCCGGAACUGCCUUUAAGACUGCAUCGCUUGAAUCCAGGAGAGGUGAGUGGAAUUCCGAGUGUAGAGGUGAAAUUCGUAGAUAUUCGGAAGAACACCAGUGGCGAAGGCGGCUCACUGGACUGGUAUUGACGCUGAGGUGCGAAAGCGUGGGGAGCAAACAGG